rnacentral:rRNA from 1 species
GAUGAACGCUGGCGGCGUGCCUAAUACAUGCAAGUCGAGCGAACGGACGAGAAGCUUGCUUCUCUGAUGUUAGCGGCGGACGGGUGAGUAACACGUGGAUAACCUACCUAUAAGACUGGGAUAACUUCGGGAAACCGUAGCUAAUACCGGAUAAUAUUUUGAACCGCAUGGUUCAAAAGUGAAAGACGGUCUUGCUGUCACUUAUAGAUGGAUCCGCGCUGCAUUAGCUAGUUGGUAAGGUAACGGCUUACCAAGGCAACGAUGCAUAGCCGACCUGAGAGGGUGAUCGACCACACUGGAACUGAGACACGGUCCAGACUCCUACGGGAGGCAGCAGUAGGGAAUCUUCCGCAAUGGGCGAAAGCCUGACGGAGCAACGCCGCGUGAGUGAUGAAGGUCUUCGGAUCGUAAAACUCUGUUAUUAGGGAAGAACAUAUGUGUAAGUAACUGUGCACAUCUUGACGGUACCUAAUCAGAAAGCCACGGCUAACUACGUGC